CGAGAACAGGAGACUUUCGUUCCCGCCAACACCGGGCACCGGGUCGAUCAAGUGGAACAACAAAGGGUCCAUGUUUUCUAACAAGGAAAGUAAUAGCCCUGCAAAAGUUUUAGGUAAGCAACAGUCUUUAGGGAAUGUAAGUGUGGAUUCAACAGUUUCUAUGCCUGCAACUGUUGGGAGGAAGCCAUUUAACAGAUUUGUGUGAGUGAUUUGAUUUGAUUUUGAUUAUAUUUUUAACCACUUUUUUUCUUCUUUCUCAUUUAUUUGGUGCCAUUUUGAUUGAAUGUAUGGUGAUUUAUAAUUUGAGAUACAGAUUUACUGAUGUAAAAUAAUAAAGAAAUUCUAUAGGAAAUGAUGGAUUGCAGCAUGUAACACGAUUUGGAUUUUCCAUUUUCCUUUUUAAUAUCAUUUGUUCAUCUUCGUUGUAGUUGGAAUCUCCUUAUACGGAAUUAUUUCAUUUAUUUCACGUAUUAACUUGUUUAUCAAUAUGCUUUCCAAAAAAGAUCUAACCUUGUUAUUCAGCACCGUCCGUCAGAUCACUAAGUUCGACUUUCAUCCCUGCUCGACGGUGAGUCUUGCAGUGAAGCUUCCUUUCUCCAAGUUAUAGAGUUUCAAACUGGUAAUAAUAUCAUUAUUUUUAUUAUUUAUAUAAUUAUCUUUAAAAUACUGUUAAG
rnacentral:lncRNA from 1 species